rnacentral:rRNA from 1 species
GACGAACGCUGGCGGCGUGCCUAAUACAUGCAAGUAGAACGCUGAAGAGAGGAGCUUGCUCUUCUUGGAUGAGUUGCGAACGGGUGAGUAACGCGUAGGUAACCUGCCUUGUAGCGGGGGAUAACUAUUGGAAACGAUAGCUAAUACCGCAUAACAAUGGAUGACACAUGUCAUUUAUUUGAAAGGGGCAAUUGCUCCACUACAAGAUGGACCUGCGUUGUAUUAGCUAGUAGGUGAGGUAAUGGCUCACCUAGGCGACGAUACAUAGCCGACCUGAGAGGGUGAUCGGCCACACUGGGACUGAGACCCGGCCCAGACUCCUUCGGGAGGCAGCAGUAGGGGAUCUUCGGCAAUGGGGGCAACCCUGACCGAGCAACGCCGCGGGAGUGAAGAAGGUUUUCGGAUCGUAAAGCUCUGUUGUAAGUCAAGAACGGGUGUGAGAGUGGAAAGUUCACACUGUGACGGUAGCUUACCAGAAAGGGACGGCUAACUACGUG